rnacentral:rRNA from 1 species
AAAGUUUGAUCAUGGCUCAGAAUGAACGCUGGCGGCGUGCUUAACACAUGCAAGUCGCAAGAGAACUCUUCUGCUUGCAGAAGAUAGUAAAGUGGCGCACGGGUGAGUAACGCGUGGGCAAUCUACCUCCGAAUUGGGGAUAACUCCGCGAAAGCGGGGCUAAUACCGAAUAACAUCCUGAGAACUUUGGUUUUUGGGAUCAAAGGUGGCCUCUAUAUAUAAGCUACUGUUUGGAGAUGAGCCCGCGUACCAUUAGCUUGUUGGUAGGGUAAUGGCCUACCAAAGCUACGAUGGUUAGCUGGUCUGAGAGGAUGAUCAGCCACACUGGAACUGACACACGGUCCGGACUCCUACGGGAGGCAGCAGUGAGGAAUUUUGCGCAAUGGGGGAAACCCUGACGCAGCAACGCCGCGUGAGUGAUGAAGGCUUUCGAGUCGUAAAACUCUGUCAAGUGAGAAGAAACUAUUCUGCGCUAAUACCGCGGGAUACUGACGGUAUCACUGAAGGAAGCACCGGCUAACUCCGUGCCAGCAGCCGCGC